rnacentral:rRNA from 1 species
GUAGGGAAUAUUGGACAAUGGGGGGAACCCUGAUCCAGCCAUGCCGCGUGGAGGAAGACUGCCCUCUGGGUUGUAAACUCCUUUUAUAUGGGAAGAACCGUCCUCAUUAAUGAGUGACCUGACGGUACCAUAGGAAUAAGCACCGGCUAACUCCGUGCCAGCAGCCGCGGUAAUACGGAGGGUGCAAGCGUUAUCCGGAUUCACUGGGUUUAAAGGGUGCGUAGGCGGAUAAAUAAGUCAGUGGUGAAAUCAACGGGCUCAACCUGUUAACUGCCAUUGAUACUGUGUAUCUUGAAUAUGAGAGAGGUAGGCGGAAUGUUGCAUGUAGCGGUGAAAUGCUUAGAUAUGCUACGGAACACCGAUUGCGAAGGCAGCUUACUAUUUCGUAAUUGACGCUGAGGCACGAAAGCGUGGGUAGCGAACAGGAUUAGAUACCCUUGUAGUCC